rnacentral:rRNA from 2 species
UGCAGUCGAGCGGACAGAUGGGAGCUUGCUCCCUGAUGUUAGCGGCGGACGGGUGAGUAACACGUGGGUAACCUGCCUGUAAGACUGGGAUAACUCCGGGAAACCGGGGCUAAUACCGGAUGGUUGUUUGAACCGCAUGGUUCAAACAUAAAAGGUGGCUUCGGCUACCACUUACAGAUGGACCCGCGGCGCAUUAGCUAGUUGGUGAGGUAACGGCUCACCAAGGCAACGAUGCGUAGCCGACCUGAGAGGGUGAUCGGCCACACUGGGACUGAGACACGGCCCAGACUCCUACGGGAGGCAGCAGUAGGGAAUCUUCCGCAAUGGACGAAAGUCUGACGGAGCAACGCCGCGUGAGUGAUGAAGGUUUUCGGAUCGUAAAGCUCUGUUGUUAGGGAAGAACAAGUACCGUUCGAAUAGGGCGGUACCUUGACGGUACCUAACCAGAAAGCCACGGCUAACUACGUGCCAGCAGCCGCGGUAAUACGUAGGUGGCAAGCGUUGUCCGGAAUUAUUGGGCGUAAAGGGCUCGCAGGCGGUUUCUUAAGUCUGAUGUGAAAGCCCCCGGCUCAACCGGGGAGGGUCAUUGGAAACUGGGGAACUUGAGUGCAGAAGAGGAGAGUGGAAUUCCACGUGUAGCGGUGAAAUGCGUAGAGAUGUGGAGGAACACCAGUGGCGAAGGCGACUCUCUGGUCUGUAACUGACGCUGAGGAGCGAAAGCGUGGGGAGCGAACAGGAUUAGAUACCCUGGUAGUCCACGCCGUAAACGAUGAGUGCUAAGUGUUA